rnacentral:lncRNA from 1 species
AUUCUUAAAAAGCUGACGUCCCCAAACUGCAUUUUUCCGCUCUUAAUUCAAGUGGACAUCGACCGGCCGACUCCCCGACAUUCCAAAGUCCAGCAGCAGAAAAAACAAUGCUCUGCGAGUACCGCCUGGUGCACCACCUCCUCUAGUAAACACCUGGUUUACUGGCGUGAACGCUGUGCUUAUAAAACCGAGGUGAACGCGGACCAGAAUGGAAAAAUAUCAUUUCGCCAAGUCCCCAGCAAUCAAUCAACCGUACACGCGCUCAACAGGCCUCACAGGGGCGCCUGGGUGGCUCAGUUGGUUAAGCGACUUCCUUCGGCUCAGGUCAUGAUCCUGGAGUCCCGGGAUGGGACGAGGAUGAGUCCCACAUCAGGCUCCCUGCUUGGUAGGGAGUCUGCUUCUCCCUUUGACCCUCCCCCUCCUCUCUCUCUCUCUCUCAUUCUCUCUUCUCAAAUAUAUAAAACCUUUAAAAAAAAAAAAAAGAAAGAAAGAAAUUUGUUUUCAGUACUUUGGGUGCAAGCAGUUAAUGACACCUGCAUUGGUUUCCUGGGUAUUUCUAAUUUUGAAUCCUCAGUGUUUAGAGUCUAUGUCUAAUUGUGCUGUUUUUCAAGAACACAAAAGUUACUGUGACCUAAAUGA